rnacentral:rRNA from 1 species
UACGAAGGGGGCUAGCGUUGCUCGGAAUGACUGGGCGUAAAGGGCGCGUAGGCGGUUUGGUUCGUUAGGCGUGAAAUUCCUGGGCUCAACCUGGGGACUGCGUUUAAUACAGCCAGACUUGAGUGUGGAAGAGGGUCGUGGAAUUCCCAGUGUAGAGGUGAAAUUCGUAGAUAUUGGGAAGAACACCGGUGGCGAAGGCGGCGACCUGGUCCAUUACUGACGCUGAUGCGCGAAAGCCAGGGGAGCGAACGGG